UGAGAAAACUAAGUGGGUUUUUGUGUGUGGGUAAAGUAAAUAUGGUUGGAAAGACAUGACUUGUUAAGAGCUUUUUUGAGGACCCCACACUCACAAAAUCCUUUAGGUCAUGUGUUUGCUUUCUGAAACAUUUGGUAAGUAAUAAGUGCCAAGGGACUAUAUGCACUCCAUCUGGAAUUAGCAGAUUCCUCUUUGUUCAAUUGUUCCUAAAUUUGGAACCAGCUGACUUGCUUAAAAGUAUUUUGAUUUUCUUUUAAAUAAAUAUGGGAAAUAAACAUAGCCCGGGACCUUCAGAGAGGUGCGUUAUUAGUCUUUUCCCUGGCUCCACGAGCCACACAAGUCUUAAAGAGGCAUUUGCCAAUUUUGAUGCUUGCUCUUUGUUUAUGCUAACAAUUUAUUUGGAGUGGCCCAUCAUUUUUGCUUCCCUUUUAUAAAUAGUAUCAAAGAAAUCAGGGACGGAAAAAGAACUAUUAGGUCAUCAAACCCGCUCUACUGCCAGUGUAGGCUUGUUCCUCACAGUGUAUUUUUUUCCAUUUAUUUGUCCAGGUUAAACUUGGAAUUAAGUGUAAGGUCUGUAGGUCUGGUGAGAGGUACAAGAACAAGUGGAGAUUUUACUCUUUUCUCCUCUCUUUACUACACAAGAUAGCUUAUUUCCACUCCCACCUUUCCUUCAGAAACAAGUGUAAUGUCAAAAGAUCAAGUAGACGCUUUCUCUUUGCAGGUGUUGUAGAUCACUGCUUCAUUCCUGUAAAAAUUUAAUUUUUGCUUGGGGAAAGCAAAAAAAAGGAAGAGAAAACAACACUUUGCUUAUCUUCCCUAUGCUCUAUAGCACCAAAGAAAACCAGAGACCAAACCACCUGCUUGUCCGUUCCUAUUCUGAGGAUCAAACCUGCAUUUCCUCUGUGUGGUUGAAAGUACUGCUUUAGUGGGAUGAAGUACCAGCAGCACGCAGCUGAAUCUGCUGACACCGGUCUUUGGACUUGACCAAAGCAUGGCAGGACUGGCUGGCUCUUUUGGAACCUAAGCCAGUGGGUAUGUGCUCAGGAUUUGCACCAAGAGUUCAUGGAGGCUAAGAUGUCUGUGCACACCACAGGGAGAAGUGUUCACUUGCUUGUUGAUUCACUGCUGGUUGUGCUCCCUGGCUGCAAUCAGAGCACAGUUUCCCCUUCAGAAGUUUAGAAUCAUGAAGAAGAUGAGAUGUGAGCUUUGGCUGCCCUGGG